GAUGAACGCUGGCGGCGUGCCUAAUACAUGCAAGUCGAGCGAACAGACGAGGAUCUUGCUCCUCUGACGUUAGCGGCGGACGGGUGAGUAACACGUGGAUAACCUACCUAUAAGACUGGGAUAACUUCGGGAAACCGGAGCUAAUACCGGAUAAUAUAUUGAACCGCAUGGUUCAAUAGUGAAAGACGGUUUUGCUGUCACUUAUAGAUGGAUCCGCGCCGCAUUAGCUAGUUGGUAAGGUAACGGCUUACCAAGGCAACGAUGAGUAGCCGACCUGAGAGGGUGAUCGGCCACACUGGAACUGAGACACGGUCCAGACUCCUACGGGAGGCAGCAGUAGGGAAUCUUCCGCAAUGGGCGAAAGCUUGACGGAGCAACGCCGCGUGAGUGAUGAAGGUCUUCGGAUCGUAAAACUCUGUUAUUAGGGAAGAACAAAUGUGUAAGUAACUAUGCACGUCUUGACGGUACCUAAUCAGAAAGCCACGGCUAACUACGUG
rnacentral:rRNA from 1 species